AUACGUAGGGGGCAAGCGUUAUCCGGAUUUACUGGGUGUAAAGGGAGCGCAGGCGGUCUGUCAAGUCGGAUGUGAAAUCCCCGGGCUCAACCUGGGAACUGCAUUCGAAACUGGCAGGCUAGAGUCUUGUAGAGGGGGGUAGAAUUCCAGGUGUAGCGGUGAAAUGCGUAGAGAUCUGGAGGAAUACCGGUGGCGAAGGCGGCCCCCUGGACAAAGACUGACGCUCAGGUGCGAAAGCGUGGGGAGCAAACAGGAUUAGAUACCCUGGUAGUCCACGCCGUAAACGAUGUCGAUUUGGAGGUUGUGCCCUUGAGGCGUGGCUUCCGGAGCUAACGCGUUAAAUCGACCGCCUGGGGAGUACGGCCGCAAGGUUAAA
rnacentral:rRNA from 1 species